CCUACGGGAGGCAGCAGUGGGGAAUAUUGGACAAUGGGCGAAAGCCUGAUCCAGCAAUGCCGCGUGAGUGAUGAAGGCCUUAGGGUUGUAAAGCUCUUUUACCCGGGAUGAUAAUGACAGUACCGGGAGAAUAAGCUCCGGCUAACUCCGUGCCAGCAGCCGCGGUAAUACGGAGGGAGCUAGCGUUAUUCGGAAUUACUGGGCGUAAAGCGCACGUAGGCGGCUUUGUAAGUAAGAGGUGAAAGCCUGGUGCUCAACACCAGAACUGCCUUUUAGACUGCAUCGCUUGAAUCCAGGAGAGGUGAGUGGAAUUCCGAGUGUAGAGGUGAAAUUCGUAGAUAUUCGGAAGAACACCAGUGGCGAAGGCGGCUCACUGGACUGGUAUUGACGCUGAGGUGCGAAAGCGUGGGGAGCAAACGAGGUAUUAGACUACCCGUGGUACGUCCACGACCGUAAACGAUGACUAACUAGCUGGUCGGGGCUCUUAGUAGUCGUCGGUGGUCGCGAGCGUACGACAUUAAGUUAGUCCGUCCGUCGGGAGGUACGGCCGCGACGUAAACGUAACGUAAGUAAGUUAGACGUCGUUGAGAGNGCGACGGCGACGACGAGGGAGGAGG
rnacentral:rRNA from 1 species